UCUUUGGCCCAGUGCCACAUGGAGCCCGUCCACUGGCUGAGCUGGGGGCCUGAUUGUGGCCACUCAACGUCUCUGUAAAGCUCAGGGUCUGCCUUGAGAUCCUGCACUUACCACGGAGUGGACCUGCCUUGGGGACCCAUCUCACCUCACUUCUGCCCUCCUUUCUGGUUCAUGACUCAGCCAUCCACUAACCUCCCGUGGUAGCACUGUGGCCACUCUGUAAACGACAGCACCACUGGUGUCUCACUGGGGGCCAGUCUGGAAGAGGGAGACCACCCUAGGCAUUUCAGACAGAAGGGAUGGAAUACAGGCAUUGCUUACACAGAGGACGGACCAGCAGAGAUGCAGAAAGGCCAGGUGAAGCAUUGGCCACAGCUGGAGGCGCUCCACCCUAGGCCAGCGGGACAGAAGGAAGCUGGGUCCGAGAAGCCAGGGCUGGAGCCACAGUGGGGGCUGCCUGGAAGAAAAUUCCAACACAGACCACAACACCUGUGGACCUGGAAAACAUUGUGCUCAGUGAAAGAAGCCAGACACAGAAGGACAAUGUUGUAUGAGGGACACAUUCCAGCAAAAAGACACAAAGUGACAGAAUGGCUGCCUUUGAGUUGGGGUGAGAAGAGGUGGAUGGCAGGUACCAGAAGAGAAGGGAAUAAAUAUAUGAAGAAAUACGACCCCCUCGGGCAGUGCCUGGCACAGCAUAAAUGCCCAGGAAAAAGAGGCCCAGUUGCUCACGUUCCCGGCGACAGGGCCGGGACCAGCGCCGGCUUCCUGGUGAAGGAGGCCACCCUUUCCUCUUGAGGGGUCUGAGUACGCAUGUCAGCACCCGGUGGGCACCCAGCACCCAGCUGACCAGGGGCCUUCACCUCUGUGGGGGUUACCGGCCUGGCCCUGAGAACUGGAUGAAAGCUGGAAUAAUUCUUUCUGUAAUAAAGCAAACGCGACCACGUUCAACCUUUCCCUUCAUUUCAGACGCUUCCCGCACCUGAUGCCUCCCACAGCCUCAGGCUGAGUCCCCAGGUGCUCCAGUGGGGGUGGCAAAGCUGAGCACUGAGUUGGUUUCCAUAGUUUUCAUCAUUAAAAUGUUUAAAUGACUAGGCCGGGCACAGUGGCUUCUCAGCAUUUUGGGAAGCCGAGGUAGGCAGAUCGCUUGAGCCCAGGAGUUUGAGACCAGCCUGGGAAACAUGGCAAAAUCCUGUCUCUACAAAAUGCAAAAAAAUUAGCCAGGUGUGGUGGUGUGUGCCUGUAGUCCCAGCUACUUGGGAGGCUGAAAUGUGAGGAUUGCUUGAGC